GACGAACGUUGGCGGCGUGCUUAAUACAUGCAAGUCAACUGAAGCAGUGGUAGCAAUAUCGCUGUGGAGGUGGCGCACGGGUGAGUAACACGUAGGUAAUCUGCCUUCAGGUCUGGCAUAACUCCGGGAAACCGGGGCUAAUAGCAGAUGAUGCAGCGGCUCGACAUCGAGACAGUUGUUAAAGCUAUGGCGCCUGAAGAUGAGCCUGCGUCUGGUUAGCUAGUUGGCGGGGUAACGGCCCACCAAGGCAACGAUCAGUAGCUGGUCUGAGAGGAUGAUCAGCCACACUGGAACUGAGACACGGUCCAGACUCCUACGGGAGGCAGCAGUAAGGAAUAUUGCUCAAUGGGAGAAAUCCUGAAGCAGCAACGCCGCGUGAGGGACGAAGGGCUUUUGCUUGUAAACCUCUGUAGUGAGAGAAAAAAAUCCCAAUCUUUGGGACAUGAUGGUAUCUCAAAAGUAAGCCCCGGCUAACUACGUG
rnacentral:rRNA from 1 species